rnacentral:rRNA from 1 species
UGCCACAUGCCAUAUCACCCUGCAGCCCAAGACCGGUUACUCACUGAAGCUAAGCAGGGCUGAGCCUGGUCAGUACCUGGAUGGGAGACUACAUGAGAAAACUAGGUUGCUGUUGGAA